CCUACGGGAGGCAGCAGUGGGGAAUAUUGGACAAUGGGGGCAACCCUGAUCCAGCCAUGCCGCGUGUGUGAAGAAGGCCCUCGGGUUGUAAAGCACUUUCAGUGAGGAAGAACGCCUGGUGGUUAAUACCCAUCAGGAAAGACAUCACUCACAGAAGAAGCACCGGCUAACUCCGUGCCAGCAGCCGCGGUAAUACGGAGGGUGCGAGCGUUAAUCGGAAUUACUGGGCGUAAAGCGCGCGUAGGUGGCUUGAUAAGCCGGUUGUGAAAGCCCCGGGCUCAACCUGGGAACGGCAUCCGGAACUGUCAAGCUAGAGUGCAGGAGAGGAAGGUAGAAUUCCCGGUGUAGCGGUGAAAUGCGUAGAGAUCGGGAGGAAUACCAGUGGCGAAGGCGGCCUUCUGGACUGACACUGACGCUGAGGUGCGAAAGCGUGGGUAGCAAACAGGAUUAGAUACCCUAGUAGUC
rnacentral:rRNA from 1 species